CGAAAGCCUGACGGAGCAAUACCGCGUGAGGGAGGAAGGCUUUUGGGUUGUAAACCUCAAAAAUUAGGGAAGAAAAAAAUGACGGUACCUAAAAUAAGCAUCGGCUAACUCCGUGCCAGCAGCCGCGGUAAUACGGAGGAUGCAAGCGUUAUCCGGAAUCAUUGGGCGUAAAGAGUCCGUAGGUGGCUAAUCAAGUCCGAAGUUAAAGACAGAAGCUAAACUUCUGGAAAGCAGCGGAAACUGAAGAGCUAGAGUGUAGGAGAGGUAGAGGGAACUCCCAGUGUAGCGGUGAAAUGCGUAGAGAUUGGGAAGAACACCAGUGGCGAAGGCGCUCUACUGGACCGUAACUGACACUGAGGGACGAAAGCCAAGGUAGCG
rnacentral:rRNA from 1 species